rnacentral:rRNA from 1 species
CCCAGACUCCUACGGGAGGCAGCAGUGGGGGAUAUUGCACAAUGGGGGGAACCCUGAUGCAGCGACGCCGCGUGGGUGAAGGAGCGUUUCGGCGCGUAAAGCCCUAUCGGCAGGGAAGAAGGAGGACGGUACCUGACUAAGAAGCCCCGGCUAACUACGUGCCAGCAGCCGCGGUAAUACGGAGGGGGCAAGCGUUAUCCGGGUUUACUGGGUGUAAAGGGGGCGCAGACGGCAGCGCAAGCCAGGAGUGAAAGCCCGGGGCCCAACCCCGGGACUGCUCUUGGAACUGCGCGGCUGGAGUGCAGGAGGGGGAGGCGGAAUUCCUGGUGUAGCGGUGAAAUGCGUAGAUAUCAGGAGGAACACCGGUGGCGAAGGCGGCCUGCUGGACUGCGACUGACGUUGAGGCCCGAAAGCGUGGGGAGCAAACAGGAUUAGAUACCCGGGUAGAG